UACGGGGGGGGCAAGCGUUGUUCGGAAUUACUGGGCGUAAAGGGCUCGUAGGUGGCCAACUAAGUCAGACGUGAAAUCCCUCGGCUUAACCGGGGAACUGCAUCUGAUACUGGAUGGCUUGAGUAUGGGAGAGGGAUGUAGAAUUCCAGGUGUAGCGGUGAAAUGCGUAGAUAUCUGGAGGAAUACCGGUGGCGAAGGCGGCAUCCUGGACCAUAACUGACGCUGAUGCGCGAAAGCUAGGGGAGCAAACGGG
rnacentral:rRNA from 1 species